AGCGAACGCUGGCGGCAGGCUUAACACAUGCAAGUCGAACGGGCGUAGCAAUACGUCAGUGGCAGACGGGUGAGUAACACGUGGGAACGUACCUUUUGGUUCGGAACAACUGAGGGAAACUUCAGCUAAUACCGGAUAAGCCCUUACGGGGACAGACUUAUCGCCGAAAGAUCGGCCCGCGUCUGAUUAGCUAGUUGGUGAGGUAAUGGCUCACCAAGGCGAGGAUCAGUAGCUGGUCUGAGAGGAUGAUCAGCCACAUUGGGACUGAGACACGGCCCAAACUCCUACGGGAGGCAGCAGUGGGGAAUAUUGGACAAUGGGCGCAAGCCUGAUCCAGCCAUGCCGCGUGAGUGAUGAAGGCCCUAGGGUUGUAAAGCUCUUUUGUGCGGGAAGAUAAUGACGGUACCGCAAGAAUAAGCCCCGGCUAACUUCGUGCCAGCCGCCGCCGUAAUAC
rnacentral:rRNA from 1 species